AAAGCUGAGGAGAUUGCAUUCAGAAAUGGAAAAUAGAAAGGGAAAUAGGUCAGUUGCCAUGAGCAAUUUUACCACAGCUAAUGUUGUUAUCCUUCUCAUCAUCUCUCUCGCAUUCCUACCGGAGAUCAGUGCAAGACGAUAUAGCCCAACCCCACUAGGGCCUCCACCACCACCGUAUCCUACUUCCCAUAAAACUCUGCCACCUCACCAACACAAUACCCUGCCACCAAAACCAACGAAAUAUGAACAAUAUGGAGGAGGAGGCAUGUAUUACAUACCUCCUAAUCGCGACUAGAAAACUAUCAUGGUGCUAGCCAGCCAGGAAAUGUAAGGCUUGCCAAAUAAAAAGCAGCUUAAUCUUGUACCAUGUAUUAGAAGAAAGACUUGGGCCAAUCAUGCUGGUGUGAAGAAAAUCUUCUCUUUAUACGCUAUCUAUACUAUUCAGUAAUCAAAAAAUAAAGCUACUCAAAUAAUUCGCAAGGCACUGUUAAGUUGAGUUUAAGGCAUUCGUUUGAUUUUGGUGAUAUUGCAUUUGAUUUUCGUCUUUGAGGGCUGCCAUUAAUUGUUUGACAAAUGAAUGGUUGACACGAAAAUUGUCUAUCACACCUAUCCUUAUAACGAUUGUUCCAAAAUUUGAACAAUGGAGUGUAUGUAAGGGUUUAUUAUUUCUCUACUGUUACUUUGGUUCAAUGAAAUAUAAUUUUCUCGAAUUUUACAUAAA